AAGGUGGGGAUGACGUCAAAUCAUCAUGCCCCUUAUGACCUGGGCUACACACGUGCUACAAUGGGAAGUACAACGAGUCGCUAGACCGCGAGGUCAUGCAAAUCUCUUAAAGCUUCUCUCAGUUCGGAUUGCAGGCUGCAACUCGCCUGCAUGAAGCCGGAAUCGCUAGUAAUCGCGGAUCAGCACGCCGCGGUGAAUACGUUCCCGGGCCUUGUACACACCGCCCGUCACACCACGAGAGUUUGUAACACCCGAAGUCGGUGAGGUAACCUUUUUGGAGCCAGCCGCCUAAGGUGGGAUAGAUGAUUGGGGUGAAGUCGUAACAAGGUAGCCGUAUCGGAAGGUGCGGCUGGAUCACCUCCUUU
rnacentral:rRNA from 1 species